CACAGAGAAGCUCAGAUUACAACACACACAGAGGGACAGUGACUUCAUUCUCUGCUUAGGGUUUCUUUUCAUUAAGUGAGUUCUACCUUUGAGGAGAGAGUAUUAAAAAAAAGGACUACCAGGGCGCAAGCAGGAGAAGAGGAAGGUGGAAUGCAGUCGUUGGGAUGUGCAUGGAGGGCCUGCUGGAGGCUCUAGGGGCCCGGGGUCUGGCUCCACCGCUCUGGGAGCUGUUAAAGAUACUAUAAAAGUUCAGAAUC